rnacentral:rRNA from 1 species
UACAGAGGGGGCAAGCGUUGUCCGGAUUUACUGGGCGUACAGCGCGCGCAGGCGGCCACGUAUGUGACCGGUGACAUCCUCGGGCUCAACCGGAGGCGGCCCGGUUAGACAGCAUGGCUGGAGGAAGGGAGAGGGAGGUGGAAUACCCGGUGGAGCGGUGAAAUGCGUAGAGAUCGGGUGGAACACCAGCGGCGAAGGCGGCAUCCUGGCCCUUAACUGACGCUGAGGCGCGAUAGCGUGGGGAGCAAACGGG